rnacentral:rRNA from 1 species
AGUGAACGCUGGCGGUAGGCCUAACACAUGCAAGUCGAACGGCAGCACAGUAAGAGCUUGCUCUUACGGGUGGCGAGUGGCGGACGGGUGAGGAAUACAUCGGAAUCUACUUUUUCGGGGGGGAUAACGUAGGGAAACUUACGCUAAUACCGCAUACGACCUACGGGUGAAAGCAGGGGAUCUUCUGACCUUGCGCGAUUGAAUGAGCCGAUGUCGGAUUAGCUAGUUGGCGGGGUAAAGGCCCACCAAGGCGACGAUCCGUAGCUGGUCUGAGAGGAUGAUCAGCCACACUGGAACUGAGACACGGUCCAGACUCCUACGGGAGGCAGCAGUGGGGAAUAUUGGACAAAGGGCGCAAGCCUGAUCCAGCCAUACCGCGUGGGUGAAGAAGGCCUUCGGGUUGUAAAGCCCUUUUGUUGGGAAAGAAAAGCAGCAGGUUAAUACCCCGCUGUUCUGACGGUACCCAAAGAAUAAGCACCGGCUAACUUCGUG